rnacentral:rRNA from 1 species
UGUGAAAUUGUUGAAAGGGAAACGCUUGAAACCAGUAUUGCUUCUGGGGAAUCAGCUGUCCAUCGGGCGGUGCACUUUCUCGGGAGCAAGUCAGCAUCGAUUUGGUCUGAGGUAAAACACUCUUGUAAUGUAGCCCUUUGGGUGUUAUAGACAAGUGAAAUGCCUUGGGCUGGAUCGAGGAAUGCAGCACUUUUGGAGGCCCAGUCAUCUUUGAAAACAUCGGUCUAGACAGCAUGCUGACUAGAUUGAAUGCCUAGAAGCUAGGUUGGUUCCCUUACACCGGUGCUUAGGAUGUUGACGAAAUGGUUUCAAACGACCCGUCUUGAAACACGGACCAAGGAGUC